AUUGAACGCUGGCGGCAUGCCUUACACAUGCAAGUCGAACGGUAACGGGCCUUCGGGUGCCGACGAGUGGCGAACGGGUGAGUAAUGCAUCGGAACGUACCUUUCAGUGGGGGAUAACGUAGCGAAAGUUACGCUAAUACCGCAUAUUCUGUGAGCAGGAAAGCAGGGGAUCGCAAGACCUUGCGCUGAUUGAGCGGCCGAUGUCAGAUUAGCUAGUUGGUGAGGUAAAGGCUCACCAAGGCGACGAUCUGUAGCGGGUCUGAGAGGAUGAUCCGCCACACUGGAACUGAGACACGGUCCAGACUCCUACGGGAGGCAGCAGUGGGGAAUUUUGGACAAUGGGGGCAACCCUGAUCCAGCCAUGCCGCGUGAGUGAAGAAGGCCUUCGGGUUGUAAACUUCUUUACUAUGCGACUAACUAGAUUUACGAGAUAAUUCUAUAGAAUGUAGCAUAGCAAAAAGCACCGGCUAACUCCGUG
rnacentral:rRNA from 1 species